rnacentral:misc_RNA from 1 species
GUAAUACUAAUCAUGCACUACCAACGAAACACAAACUUAAUUACUUUACAAUUCUGGAGGAAGGUGUUUUAUUGUUCGCUGGCAAGUGCAGCUGCAAUCCAAUUAGUUACCAAGCCUUGGAUGUCUGGCUGAAUGCUUAAAGAAAAUGGAGUCACUGAAACAAAUCCAUUUUCAACUGCUGUAAAAUCUAGAUCCUCUUCAAC